CCUACGGGAGGCAGCAGUGAGGAAUAUUGGUCAAUGGGCGCAAGCCUGAACCAGCCAAGUCGCGUGAGGGACGACGUUCCUAUGUAUUGUAAACCUCUUUUGUCGGGGAGCAAGGCCCGCCACGUGUGGCGGGAAGGCGAGUACCCGAAGAAAAAGCAUCGGCUAACUCCGUGCCAGCAGCCGCGGUAAUACGGGGGAUGCGAGCGUUAUCCGGAUUUAUUGGGUUUAAAGGGUGCGUGGGCGGAAGGUUAAGUCAGCGGUCAAAUGUCGGUGCUCAACACCGGCCUGCCGUUGAAACUGGUCGUCUUGAGUGAGCGAGAAGUAUGCGGAAUGCGUGGUGUAGCGGUGAAAUGCAUAGAUAUUACGCAGAACUCCGAUUGCGAAGGCAGCAUACCGGCGCUCAACUGACGCUGAGGCACGAAAGCGUGGGGAUCGAACAGGAUUAGAUACCCUAGUAGUC
rnacentral:rRNA from 1 species